GACGAACGCUGGCGGCGUGCUUAACACAUGCAAGUCGAACGGAAAGGCCCUGCUUUUGUGGGGUGCUCGAGUGGCGAACGGGUGAGUAACACGUGAGUAACCUGCCCUUGACUUUGGGAUAACUUCAGGAAACUGGGGCUAAUACCGGAUAGGAGCUCCUGCUGCAUGGUGGGGGUUGGAAAGUUUCGGCGGUUGGGGAUGGACUCGCGGCUUAUCAGCUUGUUGGUGGGGAGUGGCUUACCAAGGCUUUGACGGGUAGCCGGCCUGAGAGGGUGACCGGCCACAUUGGGACUGAGAUACGGCCCAGACUCCUACGGGAGGCAGCAGUGGGGAAUAUUGCACAAUGGGCGGAAGCCUGAUGCAGCAACGCCGCGUGCGGGAUGACGGCCUUCGGGUUGUAAACCGCUUUCGCCUGUGACGAAGCGUGAGUGACGGUAAUGGGUAAAGAAGCACCGGCUAACUAC
rnacentral:rRNA from 1 species